rnacentral:lncRNA from 1 species
GAUCGAGUCCGUAUCGCCGUGGAGCAACAGCCGCAUCCGGAUCUGAUCUAUCUACUCGGCAAUUCAUCCGGUGACUUCACGGUCGCCAAAGAAGCCCCAAGAAGCAUCAAACAUUUCCGAUGAGAUCCAUGGAGCAAUUCUUAGAUAGCAAGCACUAGCUCCCGGUGCGACUUCAUAAAAAGCAAUCAGUGGUUUUAGGAACAUGGAAGGUAAUUUUUCAUCAAAUAUGGUCAAAUUUUUAGAAUAUUAUUCUCCCAUCUAAAAUAGCUGAAGCUUGUGCUUUAAGAGAGGCCUUGGUUUGGUUUAAGGAUAGAAAUACCAUUGUAAUGGAUAUAUAAGUGGAUGAGAUUUUGUUAAAUUCAAGCCUUUUAAUCAGGAUGACUAGUCUAAAUUCAGUCAGAUUAUAAAUGAUUAUCAUAGUCUGUUUUAUCAAGAUCUGGUUGGGCCUUAAAUUGGAUUCAAAAUUUAUAAUAUUCUAAAAGACAUUUUGUUAGCAAUAAUAUUUAAAUAACAAAUAAUUUAAUUAGAUGCUUUGUUGGCAAAUUAAAAUAACAAAUUAAAUCAAUAUGUUUUAAUUUAGUAUUAUUGAAAUAUUUUAUAAAAUUAUGAGGUUUUAAAUUUAAAUAUUUAAAAUUCAGUAAACUUAAUCGAAUAUUAAUCAUAUUAAUGCUUGUGGCUUCAUAGAUAUAAAAGUCUAAUACUUUACUCAUCAUUAUAGUCUAAGUUUUUAAUUUUGUAUAACAAAUAUAUUAUUUAAAAUUUAUUACAAUUGUUGUAAACAUUUAAAAUAAUUUAGCCAAUUGAAAAUAAAAUUAUAAUUUUUUAUAUUUAAUUAUUUUCAUACUCAUACGUACUUUUAUAUUUGUUGUAAUUAUAGGUAAUCCGAAAAAUAAUUUUAUAUUGAUUAGUUUUAAAUUGAUGCACUUAUCAUGUUAGUUAUUAUUUAUUUACCUUUUUAAAUAUUACUUAAACCUAUAUAAGUAUACUCAUGCGGAAUGCAAAAUCAAUUCGUGAUAAAAAAUUUCGUUAUGCAACUUGACUCAACGAGACAAAUAUUUUUCAGAAGAUUACUUACUACACUCUUAACCAACUAAGGUAAUUAGUAAUAUAGAUAAUCAAAUAAUUCCAGUUAGAGAAUGCCACAAUAAAUUCUUGAUAAGUUAACUAAGUAUUUAGGAAAUUCAUAUUAGAACGCCACAGGGUUGAACCUUAAUAAGUUGCUAGAUAAUGGAAAAAAACUAAAGUUCUGAAAAUAAUUAUCAUUAUGGAGAAAAAUAUCAAAUUUUUUCUUAUUAACUUAUCAACUUCUUAUCGCUAGAUAUAAAAUAAAGGUUAUUUAUAACUAAAUAUCUUCUAAUCCUAAUUGGAAUAGUAAAAUAAAAUAAAUUUUAAUUGAAACAGGAAAAUAAGAUAAAUCGUAGUUGAAAUAGGAAAAUAUAACAUCAUAUUUGAAUAAGGAAAACUAUAUCAAGUCCUACUAAUUUGACUCAUAAUCCAUAUAAAAUUAUACAAAACACCUAAAAUAUCUCUUAUAUGAGUUUCCAAAAUUAAAUUAAUUAUGGUUAAAAUUGAAUCCAUGAAUUUUAAGAAAAUAAGUCUAUUUCUUUUUCUUAUCUUCCAAACGUCGUAUUCAACUUGAAUAAUUCGAAUUCUACUUGAUUUUUGUAUGAUUUCUUGCUUUUCUAGUUAAAUACUCGAAAAAUAUCACAAUAUUCUUACAUUUUAAGUUGUUGAAAAGUAUUAAUUCCCUUGUGCACGUAUCAUAUAUCCUUAACUCUACUUAAAAAUAUACUAUAGAAAACCUAACACUUACUAUCUUAAUUUUUAAUACCGCAAGAAAAAUGUUCAUUAACAAGAAAAAAAUUUAUCAUUAAAUAUUAAUUUAUCAUUAAAAACUAUUUUAUUCUGUUGUUAAGUUUUUGUUAGAAUUUUUCUCAUUAAAAAUUUUUAAUGAAGAUAUUAUACAUUAGUUAUUAAUAUGAAUUAUAACAACACUACAACAUAUCGUUUUAACGAGGAUAUUAUAUAUUAGUUAUUAAUAUGAAUUAUAAUAACACUACACCAUAUCGUUAAAAUUAACGACAAAUUUGUCUUUCACUAAUAAUAAUUAAUAUGGUUGUGAAAAAUUUAAUAAUGAUAAAUAAAAAUUUUUACUAAAAUUUAAGAUAAAAAAUUAUUAUUUUUUAAUAUAAUAAUUUUGAAUGAGUGAUAAUAAUUGAAAAUAAUUAAGUAUUGAUAAUAACUGAAUACAUAAUAUUUUUGGUGAAAAGAGAAAUUUUAAUUUAUAUUUAUCGCAAAUUUACAUGAUUUGCAAGUCAUAUUACUUGUUAAUUUACAGUGUCUUUAAGUGAUAACUCAUUUAUUAUUUUUUCAAUACAGAAUUUGAAAAAAAUAUAUAUAUUUACGCUUUAACGACCUACAUUUUCAUUUUUAACAAGAAUAUUUAUAGUGGUCAUUAAAAUUUAAUAUAAAAAUGACUAAUUAUGUUAUGGAUCGCUGUAUAUAUAUUAUUAAUGAGCAAAAUUUAAAAUAAUCAUUAAUUUUUUGUCAUUAAAAGCUAUAAUUCUUGUAGUGAAAUUUAAAACUUAAAAUUCUUAAUUUAAAACCAUAUAGAUUUAGAUAUUCAUUUGAACUAGAAAGUUUAUAUUUUAAAUUAAGGAUUAUGUGUUUUUAGAGUAUGCUUGUAUGAAUUUAGAUAAAAUUUUAAAAUGGUAAAUAAAUAACAUGUAAAUGUACCAAUUUAAAUCUUAUCAAAAUUAUUUUUUUUUAAAUUUAAUUAUAAUUACAACAAAUUUUAAAUACUGAACAAAAAAUUUAAAAUUUUGAUUAUAAUAAUAAUUAAAUGUCAAUGUUUAAACUUUUAUAUCCGAUUAGCUAAAAAUUAUUUUAAUAGUCGGCUAUAAUUGAAAUAAACUUUAAAGGGUGGAUUUUGUUAUAUAAAAUUAAAAAUUUAUAUUAUAAUGAUAAAUAAAUAUAAAAUAUUAAAUUUUUACACUCAAUAGGCUAAUAUUUUACAAAAUAUUUUUUUUAAUAAAUUUAUAAAGAUAAACUCACAAUUCUUUUUUGUUAUAAUAGAAUUGGGAGAGUAGAAUCUGAAAUCUCUCGGAUUUACUCAAAUACACUUACUAUCGAACUAUACUUGUGAGUGUAUAAACUCACAAAUUUAUAUUUAAUUUUAUUUUUUUAGUUAUAAACUAAAAAUAAAAAAUAUUAAUAAUUUAUAUAUAAUUGUGUUAAUAAAAUUUUUAAAAUUUAUAAAAUGACUUUUUAUGAUAAGAGAAAGUCUUUUUUAAAAAAAGUAUGGUGUUUCAAUAAACAUUGGAUUUGUUGUCCAAUUAGCUAUUAAAAUAUUUCUGACCAUUAUGAAUGGUACCCAAUUUUGAGAAGUUAUAUUUUUUUCAUAUGGCUGAAAAUGACAUGAUUUUUUCAAGUAUUUUUUUAUAUAUAAUUUUUUUAUUGUAUUCUUUGACUUGCAUGUUACCCCAUUAAUACAAUCUAUAGCUUAGGGGGGUCUCAAUUGCAUUCCAAAAGAACCAAACAAAAACAAAGGCAUGUGAUGUGUUUGUGGAUUUCUGAAUGUUGUCCAUGAAUUGGAGGGUACAAUACCUUCCUUCAAGUGAAUGCUUCUAAAUCAAGCAAUCAUCGAACACAUACCACCAGUUUAAGAUACUUAUUUUAAUUCAUAUUAAAAUAUGCAUUAUUCAAAUAUAAAUAUAGGCCAUAUUCGAUAAUGCUAAUUAUUUUGGCAGUGGUUAAUUAUUUUAUUAAUUAGUCUUUAUUUCAAUAGUAAUUAGUUAAAUAUUAUAAAAAAAUAAUUUUUUAAUCUAUUAUUUUAAAUUUUAAAUAUUAAUAUUUUGACUAAAUUAAAUACUAUAUACCAACUUUAAAAAAUCACCGAACCAAGUUAUAAAAACUAACCUGCAUUAUUAUUAUUAUUAUUAUUAUUAUAUAGAAAAAUUAUUAUUUAAUCUUUAUAAUACGGUAAAACUCAUUAGUUAAUGGUCUUUUGAUUUUUAAAAAUAUAUUAAACGUUUUUAAAAUUUUAAAAAAAAUACUAAUUAGUGUUUUUUUAUGUUAAAAGUAUUUUAAAUUUUUCUUUGAUAUCUAAAAAUUAAAAUUAAUUGAGAAACUAAUUGAUAUAAUUUUUUAAAAUUUUAUAGAUAUUUUAAUAUAUUUUUAAAAUUGAGAGAUUAAUCAAUAAGUUUCUUUAUAUUAUAGUACUAAAUAAUAAUUUAUAGUUCAUAAUUUAUUAUUAUUAGUAAUAGUAGACGUAAAAGUGUUAAUUCAUAAUUAUAUCAAAACUUACCCAAGCUAAUUUUGGAAUUUGUUUAUUGUUGACCCUAAUAUCAAAAUUGAGAAUAUGCCUUAAUUUAUUAAAAAUAUCUCAUUCGAUCUGUUUAAUCCCCUUAUUGAAAUUUAAAUGCUCGAUGUUAUGGUAAAAGAAAAAAUUCUAAAAUUAAAAGUUUAGAUCUUAUAUAUUAAAACCGACAAACAUGAUAAUUAAAUAAUGUAAAGUUCAAAUUAUUAACCAAAUCUACAGGAUCGUUGAAUGCGUUUGAAUUUUAUGGUCAUAAUUUUAAAAUAAUCAAUUAUCUUAAUUAAUAAAGUAGAUAAUCUCUUAAAAGCAUUUGGUUAUUAGUGCGGGUAUUCAUAGAAAUCCAAUUGAAUAUUCAUAGAUUGGAUCAAUCCAAUUAAUUCAAUCCAAUUCAAACCAACAAACUUAUUAAAUUAUAUUGAAUUAAUUUGCAUAUUUUAUUCAAUUUUUAUAAAUUUUUAUUGAUUAACCAAUAGUCAUUUAAUAUUCAAUUAUAUAUUUUAAUCCUAAUUUUAUAUUAUCUUCCUUAAUUUUUGUGCUGAUUUAAAUAUAAUAUUAAUUGGUAUUUUGUAUAUUUCUAUUAUUAGUAGUGAUAUGGUAUAAAAAUUGCCCAAAGUAUAUGAACAUGGCAAAUUCCUAAUAAAUUGUGAUCAUUGGUUACUCAAAUCUUACUCAUAAGAGAGAAGACCCGGUCAAUAGGAUGAUCAGUACUCGAACCAAUAAAAAGCUCAUCCCGUAUGUUUGAUCGAGAUUCUCAUGACAUCUAGUUACUAUUAAAAGAUAUUAUACAGCAGAUCUCCAUUACACCUACAAUAAUAAAAUCUCUUAUCCAUUAGCUAAUACGAGUCGGAUAUUCAGGAAAGUCACUAACUAACCUUAUCUUAUUACAGUAUAAAAACUAAGUAUAUAUAGAGUUCAAGAGAUGUAUUCUUACACGAUCUUCUUAAGCUCAAGUUAUCUAUUUACAUCCGCCUUUCUUAGUAAACUUACUGACUUGAGCGUCACAAUGUCUGCCUCUAGGCACCGAUUACCUCGUAUUCUAUUUUGCAGAUCGACAUGUCAUAUUCAGCUCAUUUUUUGUUACAUCAUUUGGUUUCAUUGCAAGGAUUCAAUUGAGUUCUCUUGUUUAUUUGGGAUAAAAUCAGCCUAACCUUUCCAAUUACCCCUUUUUUCCUAGAAUCCUUUUCAUUUCUCACGCUUCACUCUCAAAAUAGCUGAAAACUCACGACCUGUUGUUAAGUAUGUUGUCCACAAGGGAGCCAUCAUCUCCUUCACUCCAACAAUGAACAAAUGAUCAUAUAUAAUUUAGCCACAUUUUUACUAUUAUUAUUAAUGCUAAAUUAUACAUUUUUCUAGCUAAUUUUGUGUUUCUAUAAUAUUUUGCAGAAAAAGAUGAAGAAUGAAAGAAUCGGUGAAAAAUAGCCUUAAAUGCAUGAAGAGUUGAUUUGGUCGAAACAAUUUAGGCAAAUCACCCCAAGAAUGGCCAAGGAAGCUGCACAAGUAGAUGGGAUCAAAAUGCUAAAACUCAAGAACUUGGUUUGCCAGAAGCGAUUUGCCCAAAUCAUUGGGCAAAUCAACUGUCGCAGAACAGAGAAGGGAAGAAACAACACAUACUUGUGAUAAGGGAAAACAAUUUGCCCAAAUCACCGGGCAAAUCAAUCACCAUAGGACAGAAGAGUGUAGAAAGGUGGGAAACACUAGAAUUCAAAUUUCAAGAGCCCUCUUCCAUCUCAAACACGCCAAGACUCAUCUGAAAUACAUCCAACACUAUGCAAAAAAAAUUCCUUCACACAAGAAAGUCUAUUUAUAAAGAAAUACAAGCAAGGAAGGAAUCAAAGACCAAGUCAAAUAGGAAUUUCAGCUCAUAAAGGACUAAUCUAGGGUUUCUCAUCUAUAAAAAGGUAGCAACCAGCAACAGCAGAAGAUCAUCAUUUUCACAGAGCUUCAGCAGCGCUGAGUCUCCCUUCUUUUCUUCUUUCUUUUCUCUUUGUGUAUUCUUUGCUCACUAUGAGUGGCUAAACACAUUUUCUUCUAGUUGAAGUUGGUGAAAUUUCAGUUUAAUUGUGAAUUGAGAGAUCUGAAACUCAAUUGUUAAUCUUUUAUUUUUCAGUAUUUAUAUAAUUUCAUUCUUCAUGCCAUUAUUGCCUUACUAUUAGAAUCAAUAGGGCCCGUUGCUUUUAAUUGCAAAGUAAUAUAUUGUUAGAUUGAAUGAUUUAGGUCUGUAAUUGCUUAGAUUGUUCAAACACAAGUGACAAUUAGUGUAACAACUAAGAGGUUGCAUGAUCCAACUAAACCACACGGUUGGCUAAGUUAGAAUUAGGUUUCUCUAUUUCUUAAAGCAGUUAACAGUUGAAAAGUAAAAAAUUCCAAGGACGUUCCUUGGCAACUUGUUAACUAGUAUUCGAUUAGCGAAUGUUUCUUAAUCAAACUAAACCUAAGGAGAAAUUUGGUUAUGUGGAGUGUCUUCCACAACCUAAACUAAUUUGUUGAAACAAAUAGAAGAAUAAAGAUAUCAAUGAUCAAUUCCCAAACUGAAAUGGAUCCUAUGCUUCAACUAGAGUUUUUUAUCAUUGAUUUACUCUUCUUUUAAUCAUUGCUUUCUUAUAUUACUUUAGUUUUAGUCUUAGAUCAUCAUCAUCAAAAACCACCCCCUUUAUUUUACUUUUAUUGUUAAUUUGCCCAAGUCAUUGUUAGAAAAUUCAUAGUAUCAAUUCCAUGUGGAUUCGAUCCUAUUGCCACUAUCUGCAGUUCUUAAUUGUUGAUUAUUAAUAGGUUAUUUUUAACGGCUUUGAUAACCGCUAUAAAAAAUUGGCGCCAUUGCCGAGGACUUGAUUUAACUAAUGUAUUUUCCUUUUAUGAUCAAGAUUGGUCGUAGGGAAGCUCUUCUUUACGAUCUAGAAAUUGAACAUACUACCAAGAGCUUGAGAAAACAAGCAAACUUGAGGAACCAAGCCUUAAAACCAUCUUCAUUAGCAAUAGCAACAAAUUUGGUAUCUACCAUACAAUCCGCUGUUGAAUCUGCUGUAAUUACUGUUGCACCUACUGCUGAAUUUGCUAUACCUAUUGUUGAACCAGCACCAGAAGCCAAGAUGCAAGCAGCUGCACUAGAAAAUCGAGCACUUGCUGAACCACUUGUUGUCUACGCAGAAAUUGAAGCUGAAAACACAGACAUAAGAGUCCCAAUGCAGCAAGAAAGGAUGCUUCAUUAGUUAGCCAGACCCAUAGGUGAUCAAGCACCCUUGUGUAUCACCUAUCCCCUUUUGACAACACUUUUUGAAUUAAAAACAGGUUUGAUACAUUCCCUUCCCAAAUUUAAAGGUUUGGAAAAUGAGGACCCUCAUAAGCACUUAAAAGAAUUUCACAUUGUAUGCUCAACUAUGAGACACCAAGGUAUUUCUAAAGAACACAUUAAACUUAGAGCCUUCCUUUUCUCCUUUGAUGAUUACGCCAAAGAUUGGCUGUUCUACUUGCCAGCUGGAUUCAUCACCUCAUGGGCUGGUAUGGUAAGAGCAUUCUUGAGUAAAUACUUUCUUGCCUCAAAAGCCAUUGGCAUCUGUAGAGAGAUAAGUGGCAUUAAGCAUGAGAUCCUAAAGAAUUAUAUGAGUAUUGCGAGAGGUUCAAAAGAUUAUGCACAAGCUGCUCUCAACAUGACAUUUUAGACAAAUCACUCAUAGAAUAUUUCUAAGGAGGUUUGUUACCUUCAGAAAGAAAGUUUAUUGAUGUAGCGUGUGGAGAAUCAAUUGAAGAUAAAACACCUCAAGCCAUAAAGGACCUGAUUUCUACAAGGAUAGUAGCCUCAAAGUAAUAUGGAGACCAAAGAUAGUUGCCAAGGAGAGUGAACAAGGCAAGUACAUCUUCCUUAGCUUCCCAAAUUUCUGUUGUAACCUCUGUUGUCCGUAGCCUUAUCGUAUGAUAGGCCCAACAAGCUUAUCAACUUCAAUAACCAAGGCCAUAUGGAAUAUGUGCAAACAUGGGACAUCCAACUGACUUAUGUCUUCCUUUCAAGAAGAGGACUAGCAAGUCAAUGCAGUUGGAGGGUUUAAUGGCCAAAGAAGGCAUGAUCGUUACUCUAACACCUAUAACCUAGGUUGGAAGGAGCGCCCAAACUUCAAUUAUGCUAGGACAAAUCAAUAUCCAAGCUAUCAAUAAAGAAAUCCAGCCCAAGCAGCACCUUAGAAAUCGAAUGUGCCCCUUGAAGAGAUUGUAAAGUCUUUGGCAAAUACAAUGCAAAACCUUUAACAAAAAAUGAAUCAAAUGGCCACCUUUAUGAGCUAGCUAGAGUCACAAGGGAAACUACCUUCCCAAACAGAGGUCAACCCAAAGUAGAAUGCUAGUGCCAUCACAUUGAGAAGUGGGAAAGAGCUUGAAGAUGGCAGAUCUAAGCAUCGGUUUGCCUAAACGCAAAAAAUAGGUUACUAAGGAGAAAUUGCCGAGUGAUGACCCAGGGCAUCGAUUUAUCCAAAUCACUGGCCAAAUCGAUAGACAGAUAGAAUUACCUAGCAAAGACAAUUUGCCCAAAUCUCUAGAAAAGGCAGAAUUCGAUUUGCUUAAAUUGACAGUCCAGGCAGAAUCCAAGCCAAAGCAAAAGAAGACAAAACAACAACCUAAAGAAGAGUUCAAGAUACCACCUCCCUUUCCAAAAAGAUUUGCAAGAUCUCAAAAAGAAAAAGAAGAAAAAGAAAUACUUGAGACCUUUCACAAAGUGGAGAUCAGUAUAUCUUUGCUUGAUGCUGUCAAACAAAUACCAAGGUAUGCCAAAUUCUUGAUGGAGCUAUACACCAACCGAAGGAAGCUUGCUGAACAUGAAAAGGCAAGUGUAGGGGAAUGUGUUUCAGCUGUCAUACAAAGAAAGCUUCCAGCCAAGUGCAAAGAUAGAGGGAUGUUUGCUGUUUCAUGCAAGAUAAGUAAUGUGGGGAUAAAGAAAGCCAUGUGCGACCUUAGGGCAUCAAUUAAUGUUAUGUCUCUUUCCAUCUAUAACUCAUUAAAUGCAGGCACACUGAAGGGCACCAGCAUAGUUAUUCAGUUGGCUGACAGAUCCAGUGUUUACCCCAAGGGUGUCUUAGAAGAUGUUUUAGUGUAGGUGGACCAGCUAGUCUUCCCAACAGAUUUUUAUGUAAUUGACAAGGAGGAAGACAAAAGCAACACGACCUCAGACAUCCCUUGGAUGACCAUACGUGAGCACAGCCAGUACAAAGAUAGAUGUGCACGAUGGCACAUUAACUAUGGAAUUUGAAGGAAAAGUAAUCAAGUUUAAUGUUUAUGAUGAAAUGAAAUUCCUUAAUGAUGUAUCUCAUGUUUAUGGUUUAGAUAUUAUUGAUUGCCUAAGUCAAGAAAUUUUUGAAAUUAAUCAAAACAAUUUACUAAACACUGACUUAUGCAGGGACACUAACCAGGAGAACAUGGAGGACAAGAGAAGCUUGGCUGAGAUAGAAGCAGAGGAGACAACAUGCUGCACAGACUUGCCCACAGACGAUCUGCCCAAAUCAAUGAAACAGACAGGCUUUGAACUACCCAAAUCACUAGUGCAGACAGACUUGUCUAGAGGCAAUUUGACCAAACCACCAGAUCAAGCAGAAAAUGAGCUGCCCAAAUCGAUGAACAGACAGCAAACUUCAGACCAGACAGUCUCCACACCAUAUCUGAAACUUCUACUUAGAAACCUAAAAUACAUAUACUUGGGGGCAGAAAAGACACUACCAAUUAUAGUUUCCAAUCAACUAAGCCAACAUGAAAAAGAAAGCCUCCUACAAGUUGUGUUUAAGUAAAGAAUUGGUCAGAAUGACAUCCUCAUCUAAAAAAACUAAAUGGAUAUGUAGUUGUGUUUAAGUAAUAUGGUUUUUUACAAGUUGAUAAGUUGAUAAGAAGUGGACUGAAUUUAAUAGGUAUAUAUAAGCCAACAACAACAUAUAUCAAAAGAUUAAGAUAGAUAGUACUAUGCACAACAUAAUAAAGAGAAAGAAGAUCAACUUAGUGUAUGGGGUAGCAAUAGGAAAGUCCAAAUCAAAAAGGUUUAAAUCCCAAAUCCUAAUAAAAAUAUAUACUAAAAAAAGAAAAGUGGAAAGUGAACGACCACAAGAAAGAGAGAAAAAUGAGCAUUCCUAGGGCUUGUUAGCUUAUGAGAAUCAGAAUUGUAUUAUAAGCAAAUUCAACAACACCCUUCGUUGAGUUUCUUGGAAAUCCCUUGUUUUAUAGUUUGUUUGGAGGUAGAGGGUUUAUAUUAUAGAUGGAAAGGGAUGGAUUAGCACAUGGCAAUAUAUAUAUAUAUAUAUAUAUAUAUAUAUAAUGUCAUGUUUGAGUCUAAAACCACAAUUCAGAUUGCCUAAAAAAUUCCUUUUAAAGCAAUAAAUAACAAAACACCUCCAACAGAAAAAUAUUAGUAAAUAAAGUAAUGGUUAUUUUAAUAAACCAACUGAGCCCCAAGUCAAAGGAAAGUCUGCAAUUAAAAAAAACCUCCAACAGAAAAAUAUUAGUCAAGUAGCCUCAAUCCAUGUUUGAGUCUAAAAUCUCAAUUCAAAUUGCUUAUGGUAUUCUAAAGAAUGAACCCUAAAUAUUCAGAUCCAGAGCAACUACUGGAUGUAUAAAGCAAAUGCCACAGUUAAUGCAAUACUAUUUACAAAACUCAGAAAUAGUUUGCUGAAUAUAGCCAUCAAUUGCCAUUAUGCUUUUGGCAAAUGCAAAAAUCUGUUGUCGCUAUUCACCCUGAUCAAAAAACCAAGAAUACGAAUGUAACUAAAUAUGCUAGUCAGCUUGGUGAAAUUCAGCUCCAUGUAUAAUUCAAUUUAGUUGUGUUUACUGUUUUGUACUUUAGAUUCUCAGAAAUUUCAUAGAUAAUUUAAUUUCAUUUACUUAUAUGAAUAUAUAUAAGUUGAAGAUGGUUAAAAAUGGAAGAAGUGGAAGAUAGGAAGGAUGAGAGAUGAUGAAUGACGUGAGGAUUGAUGAACUUGUCUUAGCAAAAAUUCAAAGAAACCUACAAGGAAACUCAUUACGGACUGGCAAUGCUAGAAACUUAUAAACAUGGCAGGACAAAAAGGACCAUAAAAUCAUCACACCAUAAUUGCAAAUAGACUUCAGAAAUAUAUAUAUAUAUACAUGAGUCAACUUUCUUCUUCAUUACCCUCUCUAGUGUGAUUCUGUUUCUAAAUGCAGCAGCUUCACUUCAUGAUGGAAACCGCCACGUGAGAUACAUCACUCAUAAUUUUCUUCUUCUUCUAUAUGUUUCCAUUAAAGAUUAUGCAUGCAAGUUGGCCUAAUAAUAAUCUUAACAAACUACCUUUUGCCAAAUACAAAGAGACACCGACACUUUUUAGUUAAAAACUUUAAUUUGGAUCACUCACUUUUACUUAAAUAUACACCUAACCCUCAUAGUUAUAGCUGCAUUUUACUGUAUUAUAUUGAAUGGAGUUCAUGUAUAUGAAUAUAAUAAUUAGCAGAAUUAAGAAUAAAUUUUUUAUAUUCAAUUAGGUUUUUUAUUAUAAACUUUUUUGCUGCUAUGAAUGUUUCGUAGCUAUAUUCAUCAGAACCAUGAUGUAUAGUUUAUCAAUCCACUUGCUUGAAUAAUAAUACAGAAUAUAUAUCUAGUUUUGUUUUAUAAAUUUGUCAUUUUCUCAAAACCCUAAGUCCCCAAGGUCUCAUAGAUUAGCAAAAGUCUAACAAAAAAAUCAAAAAAACGUUAAUUAUUUUUGGAUGAUACAAUGCAGCAGCCACUCAAAAACCACAAAAACAUUCAAAAGAGAGAAAAUACAAAAAGCAAAUAGGUACACUGCAUUUAAUUAGGACUAAGUGAAAACAUCUAAAUUCUGUGAUAUAUAUGUAGGGAUCAGCUCUACAAAUAUAUACAACUGUAACUGUUUCACUAUAGAAUAUUAAUGUUUGAAGAGCCAAGGGAAGCUGAGCAUACACUUCGUUACCUCAUAUCAAACUAAAUUGGCAUCUUAUAAUUAAGCUCUCAAUAAGAAUAUUUUACUACUUCAUUCCAAAUGUUUGGAUGACAUAAUAUUUUAUCUUUACUGCGUUGUUUAGUCUGAUACCUAAGAAUCAUUAUCACCUCACUGUUAACAGCAUAUUCUUAUACUAUACUAUUCGUAAAAGCAGAAUCUGAAGCCUUUAAUGAUAAUUAAAUUUGACUUUUGAUAUAGGGACACAUGGACAAUUAAAUUUGACAACAAUUAAAUUUGACUCUUUGAUAAAUUCUACCAAGCGAAGCCUCACAUAUCAAACAAAUUGAAAAAAGGGUGACAUAGAGACAUAAUACAGUGAGUGAAAUAUGAUCAAAAUUCACAGAUUAAUAACUCAGUACCUUGGCUUUGUAUAUAAUCUUCACAGCAACAGGCUGAUCUUUGAGCGCGCUCCCCUUUUUUCACUCUAGCGACAACAAUUGGUAGUCGGUGAAGGCAUAGUAGUCGGGAAAGCCAGCAAUGAUGAAGGCGAUGAUAGCUUCAAUAGACGCAAAGAAUGAUAAGGACAACAACAAUGGCAACUGAAAUUGGUAAAAGACAGUAACAAUAGUGAAGGGAAGAGGAUAUUGGAGAAUUUCGUGCAAAUGACCGGGAAAGGGAAAUUAAUUUCAUGCAACUGAGAAAGGGAAAAUUUGUGCUUUCUUAUGUUAGGGAAUUUAAAUUUUGUAACAGACACAUCCAUUACUAAAUUUAACUUUUGUAACGGAUAAUGUAUUCGUUACUAAAUAACUGAAUACAAAACCAUUUAGUAACAGAUGUGUUCAUCCAUUACUAAUUUUGGGCAAAUUGAACCAAGUCUGUAACAGAUAAAAUUCCGUUACAGAAUUUAGUAACGGCUUUAUAACGGAUUAGCUAAUCCGUUACUAUUGUUGUUCUUUACAUAAUAUUUGUUAUUAGUUUGUUACUAAUCAGUAACAGAAGUUUUUCAUUACUAUUUUUCGUUUCUAAUUCGAUAGAUUUUUAUUGUGGAAGACUCAAGCUGGACAUUUAAAGGUCCAAUUGCUACAGCUAGAGGAGGAGGAGGAGGCAACAUUAUAAUCUCUUCUGCCUGUUAUGCCAGUUUUGGAGGAGGGCUAGAGGUACUAGUAGUGGACUUGCCUUUACAAGCAGCACGUGCUACUUUAGCAAACUUAUUAUGUACCUUGCCAACCAUAUAUGCACAAAAUAAAGAUUGAGUAAAUAGGGCAGUUUAAAUCCAAAGAUGUAUUAAACAAAUAAAAUACCCUGCUGUAUAAAAGAAGGUAAGAUC